CGUGUGUAAGCCUCAACAGCUUCUUCGCUUCGAUCCCCAUUUGCCAGGGUUGCUCCAAGACGGUUCCAUAACGUAUAGUCCUGGUGGAAAAGAACUCCAAGUCCUGUCUGCAAGUCAGGGUCUAUCAUGUCACCAUUCUGGUGAGCAGCCUCCAGAAGUGAUAAACUUGAAAAUAAGCUGCUUGAGUUCAAUCCUAGCAGAGAUACGCUUCCCCGUCCUGUUGCAAACUCAUUUCUGAAAUACAGAAGUUUACCUGUGUAAUGAAGUCAAAGUGAAGCUAUGAAUCCAAGCAACGAGCUGGACUUCUAUACAUUAAAGGCACAGCAUGAACCAUCGUUUGCAGUGGUCAUUACAUCUCAGCCAGCAGGAUUUAACUGCAUUUACCUUUCAUCUGAUGUCUUAGACAUCCUCCUGAUCAGCUUAUGAAGCAACUUGUCACCCUUUGCUGCACACUCAAAAUAUCGUGUUCCCAGGAAAGCAUAUGGAAUCCUUAGCAUAAACACUGUUAGGUGCUUGUACAUAUUUACAUGGCAGCAAUGUUUCUGCAGUUAUUAUCCAAUUAAACAGACAGAGCAUGACAGGAGUAAUAAAAUUAAUGUAAUAAUUCUAAGGGAGAAAUUGUUAAUAAACAUUGUCUGUAUCUCAAACACCUCUAAAAUUUCAAGCAUUAAAGGGAUUUUAUUUUUAUGCUUAUUUGAUAUAUCAAUUACUUAGGAUGGUAAAGUGUAAGCCAGAUACCACUGCUGUAGUUUGUAAAUAGUGAUGAAGUUCUGUAAUCAAGAUUAUGCAAAAUAACUUCUGAUCAAAGUGAAUUUCCUUUCUUUUAUCUUUUGCCUUCCCCAAAGUGAAUUCUGAUCAAAACCAAAUGAUCAAAUAACACAAAUUCUGAUCCAAUCCUCUGGCAUCAUAAACAGCUUGAGCUGAAAUAAUUAUGGCCUUUGUGACUUUCCUACGAGCGGAGCCCACAGUGUAAGGGCUGGGUUGAUCAGCAGUGUGGCAUCUGAGGGGUUUGAUUGCUGUGCCACACAGACCAAUUUGGAAGGCAGUUGGGUUUGUACUGUGCUUCCAAUUUAGAAACUGUGCUGGAGAGGAAACUGCAAUUGAGAAACUGCAGUUAGGUGACUGCAUUUGGUUACAUCUUGAAAAUCUUCCUUAAGGGAACUGAGAGAAACACAAAAGGAAAGGGCUUUCCUUUGUUUUCUCUUGUCCUCUGUAAAACAGCCCAAGUACAUCUGAGCUGCUCUGUAUCCAGCUGCUUUUGAUCAAUGGAAACGCUCUGAAGGGAGCUAGCAGCACCCAUCUGCUUCCAACUGUAUCCAGCUGCUUGUGCCCCUGCUGAGCUGCACAGCACUGCUCCCUGCAGUACCUUACCAGUUCUUUUUGUUGUGCAAAGAUUAGUCCUGGAGCUGUAUGUGUCAGCAUAGGUUUAUGAAGACUUUCAGAAGUAUCACUCCUGGUGACUCUCAAAAGGAGCUGUAAGCUAAAGUUGGUCUUAUGUCCGAAGUAGAAACAAAUGUUCCUUUAUGUACUUAGGAUUCUGUUUAGCCUCCUUAGAUAUAACUUGUCUUUGCCCUUAUUGCUUCUUAGGCCUAGCAUAACAUCAUGAUGAGUUUGCAUAAAUACUAAAUAAGCAGCUCAGUGAUGUGUAGUAAAUGAGUGUUUGAGGGAACAAAGUCACAAUUUGAUGGAUUUUCUGGCUUGCAGUGAUAGAUCUGAUGUCACACUCCACGCUGGAGUAGUUAUAUAGUUCUAUUAUUUCAUGCUGCUGGCACCUGGAGAGCCCAGCCCCUUCCAUCAGUAGGGAACAGAGCUUGGCAGGGUAGCUUUGAGAGAAGGGAUGCUCCAGCAAUGUUAAAUUAGAUUGGACCCUUGUACAGCUGACUGCUUGCUUGUUUGUUUUAGAAGAAGGCUGACUUGAUGUUAAGAUUAUCUAUCACAGAAGAGUGAAAUUUAGUCUUGCCAGGAAACCAUCUAAAAUUGGUUGUCCCUUACAAAAUGUUUGAAAAGCAUUUGAUCACAGAAAGGAUGACCUAAUGCAAACAAGUAUGGAGAACAGGCAUCCUUCGUUUACUGGCACAGUUUUUUAUGCAAGUUUUUACAGAGAAAUAUAAUCCAUUUUUAUUGUCAAUUGCAGAUAUGUUUUUGCAAAAAUUCGUCAUCUUAAAUCUCAGAUGUUUAUAUAAUAUCAGUGCUUCCCAGAUAAGACAUGUGCGAGGAUUAAGCUCUGCCUGUAUUCUAGUCUGAAGAAAAAUACCUUAAAUUCUCAGUUGUAAGUCUGCAACAAGCACUAGAUUGCCUGUGAAUUCUUCAGAAAGCAUCAUUUAUUUUUUUGACAAAAGCAAGUGCUGAGAAUAGCUAAGGCAGCAAAACAUACGUAUCAUCCAGAGACAUCAGCAUAGUCUACCUGCCCUUUGCUGACUACUCAUUUUGAGAUAAUUCUGUGUAUUUUUGCAUAGUGUGCAUGCUAUAAUUUCUAUUAAUGAAUCUCCAAUUUGGAGAUUUUAAAGCAAAAUGCCUUCUCUCUCCCCUGGCUAUGACAAGCUUCUUCCUAAGUAAUUAUUACCACAUGGUUAGUGCCGGUUAUGAAAUUAGGAAAAACACUAAUUAGACAAAGCAGGUAAUAGUGCUGAAAAUAUACUGUGUGCAUCUGAAAUGAACUGCUGCAUACUGCUUGACUGUGCACGCACCGAGGGCUGCAGCAGCUUGUCUGUCUCUUGUUGUCUUUGACAUUGCUUGGCUUUCCAGCAGAUGUAUUCUGAACACGCACUCUUGACUUGAAUGAGGAAUCACUGUCACGUUCCUUGGUUUGUAUUACCCCAGAGAUCACACUACGUGGUUGUGGUGCUCUCUUCACAUAACGUGCCAUCCCACUGGAAACAGGGCUUACAAAACCAGCAUGUGCUUCUGCUGAGAGCAGAAUGGUUUGAAGCAGGAGCAAGCAGUGAUUAUUUGGAGGUAAGUUGUUCCUUUCAGGUACAUGCUGCUUGGACUUGAUCUGCAGUGGGAGAAGUUGAGGGUUGCUUAGUACCUGUGGUUACACUUGCACUAAGAAAUUAGAGACACCCAAGUACCAUUGCUUUUCUGGAAGCUAACCAACAUCCAUACUCCCAAGACUUCUGCAACCAGACCGGCACUGGAAAUGCUGGGUGUCCUCUGCCACCUCCUGUAUUGUGUCAGGGAACUGUUUGCAAGAAUGCCAUUAGUGUGAGCCAAAAACAAAGACAAAGACCAUUACAGCAGCCUAGAACACAGAGGAUCCCAGUCCAGUGUCCAGGAAUGUAACCUGCAGGGUGACAGCGUUUAGCUUACUUAGACUUUAUGCUUGGGACAGUUGCCUAUAGGUUGUUAACAGUAUAUGAGGUACUAUUUUUAAAAGAAUACAAAUUUUGUGAAAUGAAACUACAUUUUCUCUGCCCAUAGCUCAGGGUUAUUCCCAAUGCCUGUGGGUUUUUUGUUGUUGUUGUUGUUGUUUGUUUUUUUGUUUUUUUUUAAUUGUGUGAGCAAAAUUGAAAGCAGACAGACAACAAUUUUCAUAAAAAAAUUUUAUACAAUUUUGUUUUUCUGGAGCUUCAGAAGGAGGAGGCAUCAGUGUUAAGAUUUGCAAUAGGGAAUGUAACUUGUUUCAUUAAAAUUGCUGACUGCAAAUUGGUCUGUGUUCCAGUUGUUAGCUAAAAGCAUGAAUUUGUCAGACAAAUUGUUGUUGCUUCAUGGGGGACUGCAGGAGGAGGAAUUUUUUCUGUAGAUCAGCUCCACACACAUAUGGUGUGGGCUUAGUGGAAUUGCAAAUGCCAUGUUUCCUUCAGGCACUGGCUCUUGCGAGAGGGGAGGAACUGAAUGCAGAAGAAAAAGGUGGCAUUGCUGGGUGGGAUUCUGAUAGCUAUUCAUGUAAACCUAAGUUAAGCACUUUGUCUUAACUGCGAAGGUGAGAGGAACAGCCUGCACUGCCCUUAGGGGGAGCCUGCUGAUUUCAAAGGCACCUAGGGAGGUAAUUUAAAUACUGAAAUUUAGGAAUGCAAAUUCUACUUUAAUUUCCAAUCUGCCAUCAUCCCAUGGACAAUAGAAAAGCGACUCCUUUCUAUGCAUUUUACGGCUUACAACGUGGAGAUGAUACUACUGCCCCAGUUUCCAAUGGCAUUCUGGAAACAAGACAGAAUGCCUUGAAUACUAUACUGAUAAAGUCACCGUGUGCAUAAGACUGUGGGCACAGCACUUCUCUGCCACAUCCCGACUGUGGUGGGGCAAUGGAGUCCAGAGCCAGCUCCUUACUUCUGCUGCACAUCCCUUACUCCAGUGAGUAUUUAGGACAGAAUCCUUGGGCUGCUGCUGUCCUCUCACUUGUUUGCCUGCACACAAAUGGGUGUGUACUCAGUGCUUCUGUUUGUCAUUGUCGUGUUGGCUUAUGUGUUGCUGUUGUUUUUGCUAAGACUUUAUGGGGAUGCUGGUAAAAAAUUGAAGAGUUAAAGGCAUCUUUAGAGUGAAAAUACAUCUUCAUAAUGUAUAUACAGGGUGCAUCUUUCUUAUCGUUAUCCAAGAUCCCUAAAAACUUGGGAGUGAUCACAUAUGAUGAAGUUUUAUGGUGAUUUUCUUUUCAGAACCUAGAUUGAGACUUCCCAUAUAUAUUUUUAAAGACAGUCUCAUGCAAAUUAUUUUUUCUUGCAUAUAUGAAUGGAAAAUGAGCAGGUUUUUGUACUGUGCUGUUGGGGGCCUGCAAGUCUACAGGAAAUAAAGUGAUUGAUUCCCUUUGCAGCUUUCUCAAGCUAAUGUCUUCUCCCAACUUUCAUUUUGUCUCUCUUUCACUGCGGCCAGCCAGCAAAAGAUGCUGAAGCUCAAUGAGAUGGAGUAGCUGGGUCAUACUGCAGAAAGUGCUGAUGUGAGCUGCUUCUUAACAGGUUGAGCUGUUUUCCCACACAUCCCUGUGGAUGUGCUGGAAAACAGAUUACUUCUUAGUAUACGCAUAUAUGUUCUUUCUCGACUUCUUUCAUGCUAUGUACAUACAGGAGAAUUUUUAAUGGCACAAGAUUUCCUGUCCUAUGCCUCGAAAAUGAUAACUUGCUGUUUUAUAAUAGUUAACAGUUCCCAGUACUUCAAGACUCGUUUUCCUCUUUCACUUUUAGUCUAAAAACCUAGAAGCACUUGAUAAGCAUCAGUAAAUAUAACUGCUUCAUACAUCUCUGUAAGGUAGGCUGGGUAAUGGCCCUGAAUUAUUUUUCUAAAGAGAGGAACUGAGCCAUAGAGAACCUCAGAAAACAGACUGUAUUUAUAGCCACAGUGAACCAUGUGUGCAGUAAUACUCUUGAGAGUCCUGGUGCUUUUCAAAUAUCUUGGAAUUCUAAUAGAAGACCUUUGGUAUGUACAGGGCUGUACAGGGCUGACAGCACACCAAGAAAUGUAAGUGUAGUGUUCAUUGCUGAUUUGCUAAUUUUGUUGUGUGAAUGGGAAGAUUUCUAGCAUAGCACUAUGGUUCAUAUUCAGGUUAGAAAAAAAUAUUGAAGUCUGUAAAAACAGAGUGAGAAUCUUUAGAAUUCUUUUGCUGAUGGUAUUCUGGUGUUUGCUGUUAGCUUUGCAUUAAUGCCACAUCUCCUUGAAUUUUUUUUCAUGAUUUUAUAUUUAUAAAUAUGUAUAGAACAAAAAUCCCAACUUUUGUUUUGCCAGAAGUCACAAUUUUAGCCUUAGUGAGUGGUCAUAAUGAGGAUGCAGUUAUUGAUUUUCUGGGGACAAGACUGUUCUUAUUAUGGAGAGGUUAAAGUUCUACCAAUUUUCAUGGUAUCACUAAAUAUUUUCUCAUUAUAAGUCUGGUAGGAAGUCAGAAUGGAAAUUGCUUUGUGUUCUCUUUCUGUGACCUUUCAAAUGACUUUCUGACCCUUCAUUUUUUCUGCCUGAGGUAACAGCUACACAAACUAUCUGCAUAAGAAGUCCAUUUUUUCCCCGUAUCUUGUAUACAUAAAUGAUCUAAAACUUGCAUGGAAAUCAGACUGUAGUUGAUUUGUAUAGUCUAGUCUUAAAUCUACCCUUUGAGAAUUGAAGUUACAUGGUAAAAUCAGCACUUUCAAGUAAAUAGAGCUACAGAGCUGAAUCUGUUCAGAAGUAUGCUGUUUGAAAAAAGUCUCUCAUAAUCCUACACAAAUCGCUUUACAUUCCCCAAGGCUCCCAUUAUCCUCUCAUUUUGGCCAUACUUUUACAGGAAAACUUUUAUUUUUAAAUACAUUUCACAUUUUAGGUUAAGUGAGAAAUCAUCUAAGAGGCUGGUACUUCAAUUUGCUGUAACGAUAAAGUGUAUAAAGCUUUAUUUUAAGAAGCUGCAGAACAGCUUGGCCUCUUGUGCCUUAUCCACUCAUAGACAGGGCUCUGAUGUGCAGAUCGAUGCUCAGCACCAGAAAGUUCCCCCAAAGAGAACCAGCAGAGAGUUUACUGCUAAAUGUUUUUAAAACUGGUAGCCUUUUUUUGGCACCCGGCCAUGGUAUUUUUGUAGGGGUUAGGUAAUAAAAAAUGAAGAAUUUACAAUUUCAAGAGUCAGUAGGUUCUGUCUCAUGGUUGAAUGUUCAGACCAUUUUCCUGGAGCCGUUGGAAGUCUGUUGUUUUACAGUAUUGCCACUGCUUGAUGUAUUGGUUAAGUUUAGGCACUGAAUUAUCUUCAGCUUAUAGCUUCACGCAGAAGGCACUUUAAAUUCUACUUUUUGUGGGAGGUGAGGGACUGAAGGGGGACUAAAUGUAAUUAAAAGUGUGUAUAAUUGCUCAGUAAAAUGAUCUCCUUUUUCUGAAAUACAACUGCAGCUUGCUAACACAUAUGAAGUCAGUGUUAAUUGAGUUAUAUUGGGUAGCAUGGCACAAUCCAACAAGUCUGACAUACGGGGGAAUUGCGAGCACCUCAGAUGCUAUCUGUGCUAUUAACGUAUCACAUUUAGUUACUGAGGAAACUCUUCAGUAUCUUUCAACUCGAAUAUUUCAACUCGAUCUGCUGAACUGCCAAAAUGUAAUCUAAAUAAUACUGACAUGAUAUUCAUGAGAUAGGCCUUAGUUAAACAAGAUUCCUAGCAUGCUGUAGUUACUGAUAGAGCUUUUAAUUAUUAUUCUUUUAGCAACUACUUCCAACAGUUUUAAUGUAAUUUAACCCCUAAUUGUAAUAAAGUAAGCUAAGAAAAGAAAGAGAUGCCUUUCCCCACGAUUUUUCACCUAACAGCUUCUUGGCACUGUUCUCUAUAUGGCACCACUGCCAGGGAACUGCUUGCCAUAACCUACAGAUGGAGUUGCCAACCUUCAAUGACCACAGGGUAAGACAAAGCCCCAAACACAGAUCCAGCUCCAUGUCCAGGGCACUGCUGGCCAGGUUUUCCUUGCUGAUGCUCCCAGCUGAGGAUGUGUGGAUUUGUACAAACCCAGCACAGUAGCAUGAUAUGUCUUGAUUAAGGCUUAUUUGAAUAGCUUUGUUCUGAGUAAAUAAAGCUGCAAGGGUAAGGUACAGGCACAUAAUCCUGUCAGUGAAUUAUGAAGCAUCAACUUCUUUGCUACUGGAUAAAUAAAGUACUAGGGAGAGAAAAAAUAUUUCAUAAAAAUGUUAGAAAUUCAAGAUAAGGAGCUGUUCUAGCUAAGUAAGUCUGACAGCAUCCAGGUAGAGAUUCACUGCCCUCCCUCAGGUCUACUGAGACUGUGCUAAAUAAAAAAGUAGGCAUUGCUUCAUAAACAAGUUGAUUCAGCUACUGAGUCCCUAUAGUGUGAUUUGUUGACUUUUACUUGUCUUCAAUCCUAAUCCAGCAUUAAAAAAUAUGAUACGUGUAUUUAGCUUUGAAUUAACGAUCUUGAGUAGUUUCUGUAAAACAAAUUAACUAUCAUAAAGUGCAAAAUAUAUAAGUUUCUAUAACUUAGUGUUUCCUGACUCACUAGUUCAGGUCAAUGUCCAAAUGCUCAGUAAUGUAUCUCACAGAUAAGGUCACCAUGUUUCUGUUCCAUUUUUACACAGUACAAAUCAGUACACUCAAUUUCUGUAUUUGUUACAUAGAAAUUACUACCGUACAUCUUUGGAAAAAGGGAAUUAAUAUAAUAAAUUAACAUAUUCAUGAAAUAGGCAGGACAGAAAUGCGUCCUGUGAAUGUAAUUGCAAAGUGUGGAGUAGUUUGGUAGUAUUGACUUGCUUGCCAUAAAUAAUAAGCAUUUUGAGGUGGUGGCAUUGUAUAUUGUGUUUUUUGUUUCCACUGAACGUGGAAAUAAAAGGUUGUUAGUAGAAUAAGACACUUGCUGUUCUAAUCUGUGUUUUUUGUAAUAUUUAUGAGAAACAAUACCAUUUUUUCUUUUCAGCUUUCCCUUAGUCUUGACUUUUAGUAUUCCUUCAGUGAAAGGACUGUCUCCAACAGUAGUGUGUUUAGUGCUCUUUAACUAUUGACUAACCUUCCCAAAUUGGGACAUAUGCUAACCUAUUUCUUUUAAUGAGAGAAGUUUGGACUCUUAUUUUUUUUCCUUCAUUCUGAGUGUGGGCAGAAAUGGUUCUUACAUUUCUUUUUCCAUCUGGUGAAUAACUUUAGUUCCUUUCCAUGGAGAAGAAAAGAGGAAUUAUUUAUCUGUAAUCAUGUCCAGGUUUUUCUUGGAGGGGAAUUAUUUAAGUCCUAGAGACUGUCACUGCCUGUUUUGUUAAUUAAACUACAAGAACUUAUUACAGGGAAUUUUUUGAUAAAAUUCUAAAACAUGCAUGACUAAACUGCAUAGGAGGAGGCAGACUAUAUUCUUUGGUUACUAUAAUGUACAGAAG